AGAACGAACGCUGGCGGCAUGCCUAAUACAUGCAAGUCGAACGAACUCUUCGGAGUUAGUGGCGCACGGGUGCGUAACGCGUGGGAAUCUGCCCCUUGGUUCGGAAUAACAGUUGGAAACGACUGCUAAUACCGGAUGAUGACGAAAGUCCAAAGAUUUAUCGCCAAGGGAUGAGCCCGCGUAGGAUUAGCUAGUUGGUGAGGUAAAGGCUCACCAAGGCAACGAUCCUUAGCUGGCCUGAGAGGAUGAUCAGCCACACUGGGACUGAGACACGGCCCAGACUCCGUACGGGAGCAGCAGUAGGGAAUAUGGACAAUGGGACGAAAGCCUGAUCCAGCAAUGCCGCGUGAGUGAGUGAAGGUCCGUUAAGGUUGUAAAGUCUUCGUUUUACCCGAGUA
rnacentral:rRNA from 1 species